CUACGGGUCGCUCCAGCUAAGAAUCUUCCGCAAUGGACGAAAGUCUGACGGAGCGACGCCGCGUGAACGAUGAAGGCCGUGAGGUUGUAAAGUUCUUUUCGGGAGGAGGAAUAAUGUUUGCAGGGAAUGGCAAGCAGAUGACGUGAAUCCCGGAAUAAGCCCCGGCUAACUACGUGCCAGCAGCGCGCGGUAACACGUAGGGGGCGAGGCGUUGUUCGGAAUCAUUGGGCGUAAAGGGCGUGCAGGCGGUGUUGCAAGUCUGGCGUGAAAGAUCUCGGCUUAACCGAGGGAACGCGCUGGAAACUGUAACACUAGAGUACAGGAGGGGACAUUGGAAUUCCAGGUGUAGGGGUGAAAUCUGUAGAUAUCUGGAAGAACACCGGUGGCGAAGGCGAAUGUCUGGCCAUGUACUGACGCUGAGACGCGAAGGUGCGGGGAGCAAACAGGAUUAGAUACCCUGGUAGUC
rnacentral:rRNA from 1 species